rnacentral:tRNA from 1 species
GCCUGGGUGGUGGAAUUGGUAGACACGCCAUCUUGAGGGGGUGGUGACCUUAUGGUCGUGCAAGUUCGAAUCUUGUUCCAGGCACUA